GACGAACGCUGGCGGCGUGCUUAACACAUGCAAGUCGAACGGAAGGGCCCUGCUUUUGUGGGGUGCUCGAGUGGCGAACGGGUGAGUAACACGUGAGUAACCUGCCCUUGACUUUGGGAUAACUUCAGGAAACUGGGGCUAAUACCGGAUAGGAGCUCCUGCUGCAUGGUGGGGGUUGGAAAGUUUCGGCGGUUGGGGAUGGACUCGCGGCUUAUCAGCUUGUUGGUGGGGUAGUGGCUUACCAAGGCUUUGACGGGUAGCCGGCCUGAGAGGGUGACCGGCCACAUUGGGACUGAGAUACGGCCCAGACUCCUACGGGAGGCAGCAGUGGGGAAUAUUGCACAAUGGGCGGAAGCCUGAUGCAGCAACGCCGCGUGCGGGAUGACGGCCUUCGGGUUGUAAACCGCUUUCGCCUGUGACGAAGCGUGAGUAACGGGAAUGGGUAAAGAAGCACCGGCGAACUACGU
rnacentral:rRNA from 1 species